UACAGAGGGUGCGAGCGUUGUCCGGAAUCACUGGGCGUAAAGCGCACGUAGGUGGGCUUGCAAGUCGAAUGUGAAAUCCCCGGGCUUAACCUGGGAACUGCAUCCGAAACUACAAGUCUUGAAUGCUUCAGAGGUUGGUAGAAUUCCAGGUGUAGGAGUGAAAUCCGUAGAUAUCUGGAGGAAUACCGGAGGCGAAGGCGGCCAACUGGGAAUGCAUUGACACUGAGGUGCGAAAGCGUGGGGAGCAAACAGG
rnacentral:rRNA from 1 species